UACGUAGGGGGCAAGCGUUGUCCGGAAUUACUGGGCGUAAAGGGCUCGUAGGCGGCCAACUAAGUCAGACGUGAAAUCCCUCGGCUUAACCGGGGAACUGCGUCUGGUACUGGAUGGCUUGAGAUUGGGAGAGGGAUGCGGAAUUCCAGGUGUAGCGGUGAAAUGCGUAGAUAUCUGGAGGAACACCGGUGGCGAAGGCGGCAUCCUGGACCAACACUGACGCUGAGGAGCGAAAGCCAGGGGAGCAAACGGG
rnacentral:rRNA from 1 species